rnacentral:miRNA from 1 species
CGAAGUCUGUGAUAUUCUUCAUU